GCCAGAGUGAUGUAGUGGUUUGAGUGCUGGACUAGGAAACUGGGAGACCAGGGUUUGAUUCCCUGCUUGGCCA